rnacentral:misc_RNA from 1 species
CAGGCAUGGAUCGGGCCAUUGAAGAUGGUGUGGACGUGCUCUCGCUUUCUCUUGGUGGCGGAUCCGUUCCGUAUUACCGCGAUACCAUUGCCAUUGGAGCUUUUGCUGCAAUGGAGAGGGGAAUUUUCGUCUCUUGCUCCGCCGGUAACAGCGGACCCAAUAAAGCCACUUUGGCUAAUGUGGCUCCUUGGAUCAUGACCGUUGGAGCAAGAGACGAAAAAUCCCCUCUNNNNNNNNNUCUGUUGGGUAACAAUAACCGGUUUACUGGCGUUUCUCUCUAUAGUGGAACGGGAAUGGGA